CAUUCUGUUUUUGGCCCUUUCUGCGUACACGUUCCGAUCCUCCUUUCGUCUCAGAAGGGAGGCAGCUCUCCCUUUGAAGCGUGACCGCCUCACGCCGGCCAGCAGGCGGCAGCACCGCGCAACUCAGGGCGCUCCGCCCCGCGCUGACGUCAUCUCCCCGCGCCAGCCACCCGUCGCAGAGCGCCGCAACGUGCUGUGCGCGAGCCGGCCCGGCCGGGCUUUGCGCGGUGCCGUGGCGGGGUCGGAGGGCCGCGUGCCGAUGCGGGGCGGGCAGGAUGCAGCAGAAGCUGCUGCGCAGCGCGCACUACAUCGAGCUGGGCGGCUACCAGUACUGGCCCGUGCUGCUGCCGCGCGGCAUCCGUCUGUACACCUACGAGCAGAUCCCCGUCUUCCUGAGGGACAACCCCUACAUCACCGACGGCUACCGCGCCUACCUGCCCUCGCGCCUCUGCCUCCGCAGCCUCUUUAUCCUCUCCAACGAGAGCGUCAACAUCUGGAGCCACCUGCUGGGCUUCCUGCUCUUCUUCACGCUGGGAAUCCGCGACCUGACCGUCGUGCUGCCCGCCGCUCGCGCCGCCCGCGAGGACUUCGUCAUCUGCGCCGUCUGCCUCUUCUGCUUCCAGGUCUGUAUGCUUUGCUCAGUAGGAUAUCAUCUCUUCUGUUGUCAUCGCUCAGAGAAGACCAGCCGACGAUGGAUGGCAUUAGAUUACGCAGGAAUUUCCAUUGGUAUCCUAGGCUGCUACGUAUCAGGCGUGUUUUAUGCAUUUUAUUGUAGUAAAUACUGGCGUCAGGUGUACUUAAUCACUGUGCUGGCAAUGAUCUUGGCAGUAUUUUUUGUUCAGAUUCAUCCCAAUUACCUCACGCAGCAGUGGCGCAGGCUGCGCUCCAUCAUCUUUUGCUCAGUGUCUGGAUAUGGCAUUAUUCCUACUAUCCACUGGGUUUCACUGAACGGUGGCAUUGGUGCAGCUAUUGUACAGGUAAAAGAAAAUAAUACGGAAAUAAGAUUUACUUUUGCUUUGCACUUAGCAUCUUCCCUCCCUCGGUCUCAUUUUGGAAAUGAGGGAGAAGUAGAGCUAGUAAAGAUUUCUUAAAGCACAGAAUUCCUUUGGAUGUUAUUACAGCCCAAACGCUGAGAUUUAUGGAAAGCCAAUCAACAGGUUGAGUAGAUGAAAUCUAUUUCAGUGAUUUAAAGCUGCACUGUGAGAAGACCCACCUGGAUGCAAACAUGACCACCAGGCGUGCUUGCCUGAGGGGCAGAGCAGUCUGUGCAGGUCAGACGCACCCUUGCACUCCUCAGGGCAAGGAGCAGGAGCAGAGAGCUGAGUCAGCAGGCGAGUGGGAAGCAGUCAGUCAGGAUGCACAGGUUGCAGAGGUGAGGUGAACCAGGAGACAUGGGUGGGAAGUUUUUCCUCUUCUGUGCCCUGGGUUGGUGGCAAAAUCAGCAUUUGCCUACACAGCUUUCUGUCUCUCAUGCAUAACUUGUUUAAUAUCACUGUUAAGUUACCAAACUAAUUUCCCUCUCUUGCUUUACCAUUAUGGUAAAGGUUACUCAGCUCUGAAAAACAGGAAGUACAGCACUGUUAACGAAGAUGAAUUUGCCCCAAGAUUUAAAUUGUUCCCCCAAGAAUCACAGCCAUUAGCCAGCUGAAAAAAACCUUUGCUUUCAUAGCAAGUACUGCCUGUGAAAGUUCUUAAGAUUGGCACUUCAGGACUGUUUUCUAGGAUGCUGAUUUAGCCUGGUCCAGAGCUACUGCUGAAUUUGGAAGAGCAGCACUGAUAAUAAAUGCAGUCUUCAGACAAGGAGUUUGCUCCACGUGUGGUUGUCAUGUAUUUCAUUGCUGCUGUAGCUUUUCUCUUCUAUAUUUCCAAAGUUCCAGAAAGAUACUUU